UAGGGAAUCUUCCGCAAUGGACGCAAGUCUGACGGAGCAACGCCGCGUGAGUGAAGAAGGAUUUCGGUUCGUAAAACUCUGUUGUUAGAGAAGAACAGCGCAUAGAGUAACUGUUAUGCGUGUGACGGUAUCUAACCAGAAAGCCACGGCUAACUACGUGCCAGCAGCCGCGGUAAUACGUAGGUGGCAAGCGUUGUCCGGAUUUAUUGGCGUAAAGCGAGCGCAGGCGGUCAAUUAAGUCUGAUGUGAAAGCCCCCGGCUCAACCGGGGAGGGUCAUUGGAAACUGGUUGACUUGAGUGCAGAAGAGGAGAGUGGAAUUCCAUGUGUAGCGGUGAAAUGCGUAGAUAUAUGGAGGAACACCGGUGGCGAAAGCGGCUCUCUGGUCUGUAACUGACGCUGAGGCUCGAAAGCGUGGGGAGCGAACAGG
rnacentral:rRNA from 1 species